GGGGAUUUAGCUCAGUGGUAGAGCGCUUGCCUAGCAAGCACAAGACCCUGGGUUCGGUUCUUAGCUCCA
rnacentral:tRNA from 1 species